rnacentral:rRNA from 1 species
UACGUAGGUGGCAAGCGUUGUCCGGAUUUACUGGGCGUAAAGGAUGCGUAGGCGGACAUUUAAGUCAGAUGUAAAAAUACCCCGAGCUUAACUUGGGUGCUGCAUUUGAAACUGGGUGUCUAGAGUGCAGGAGAGGUAAGUGGAAUUCCUAGUGUAGCGGUGAAAUGCGUAGAGAUUAGGAAGAACACCAGUGGCGAAGGCGACUUACUGGACUGUAACUGACGCUGAGGCAUGAAAGCGUGGGGAGCAAACAGG